rnacentral:misc_RNA from 1 species
CUGUGUUGCUUACCGGUGGAAUGGAAUUCGAUGGCUUCGGUGUUGCCAUCCGCCCGUCGCCAAUCGGGGCGCGGGGCGGACGCGAGGCGGCCUCUGUGCCCCGGGCGCUACCCCGUGAUGGGGUGGGCGCUCGGGGCCACGGAGUUCCUGCCCGUGCUCUCGGAUGCGGAACGCUAUGCGUGGGAGUGAGGCCUCGGCCUCGGUCAGUCCCGAAUGUAUGCAAACUCGCUCCUUCGAACGACCGGGGCGCCCGUCUCGAUUCGGGUGGCCGGGUCCCCGCUCGGGGCCCUGGCCGGCCGGCCCGUGCGGGCGCCGGAGUCGUACGAGGAUUGCUACCUGGUUGAUCCUGCCAGUAGUCAUAUG